rnacentral:rRNA from 1 species
GACGAACGCUGGCGGUGUGCUUAACACAUGCCAGUCGAACGGUAAGGCCCUUUCGGGGGUACACGAGUGGCGAACGGGUGAGUAACACGUGAGUAACCUGCCCUCAUCUCUGGGAUAACAGUCGGAAACGGUUGCUAAUACUGGAUAUGAGCUUGCAAGGCAUCUUGUGGGUUGGAAAGAUUUUUUUUGGUUGGGGAUGGACUCGCGGCCUAUCAGCUUGUUGGUGAGGUAGUGGCUCACCAAGGCUUCGACGGGUAGCCGGCCUGAGAGGGCGACCGGCCACAUUGGGACUGAGAUACGGCCCAAACUCCUACGGGAGGCAGCAGUGGGGAAUAUUGCACAAUGGACGGAAGUCUGAUGCAGCAACGCCGCGUGCGGGAUGACGGCCUUCGGGUUGUAAACCGCUGUCAAUUGUGACGAAGCUUUUUUGUGACGGUAGCAGUAGAAGAAGCACCGGCUAACUACGUG